rnacentral:sRNA from 1 species
GCUGCUGAAAUCCACACCGAAGCGAACACUGGCCAACUAUUUGAUUUUUUAUUAUAUGGACCACGCAAUGAAUGGUCUCUCGGUUCACGACAACGUGAUUAAGAAACGAAAUUGUGAAAAG